rnacentral:rRNA from 1 species
AGGACGAACGCUGGCGGCGUGCUUAACACAUGCAAGUCGAACGAGGCCCAUUCAGUAGCAAUACUGAUGAAGGCCUAGUGGCGAACGGGUGAGUAACACGUGAGAAACCUAUCCUGGUCUCUGGGAUAACAGUCGGAAACAACUGCUAAUACCGGAUGCCGUCGGAGCGCUGCAUGGCGCACUGACGAAAGGGUUACUGGAUCAGGAGGGUCUCGCGGCCUAUCAGCUUGUUGGUGGGGUAAUGACCUACCAAGGCAUCGACGGGUAGCUGGUCUGAGAGGAUGAUCAGCCACACUGGGACUGAGACACGGCCCAGACUCUACGGGAGGCAGCAGUGGGGAAUCUUGCGCAAUGGGCGAAAGCCUGACGCAGCAACGCCGCGUGCGGGAAGAAGGCCUGGUGUAACGACGUUC